rnacentral:rRNA from 1 species
GAUGAACGCUGGCGGCGUGCCUAAUACAUGCCAGUCGAGCGAACGGACGAGAAGCUUGCUUCUCUGAUGUUAGCGGCGGACGGGUGAGUAACACGUGGAUAACCUACCUAUAAGACUGGGAUAACUUCGGGAAACCGGAGCUAAUACCGGAUAAUAUUUUGAACCGCAUGGUUCAAAAGUGAAAGAAGGUCUUGCUGUCACUUAUAGAUGGAUCCGCGCUGCAUUAGCUAGUUGGUAAGGUAACGGCCUACCAAAGCAACGAUGCAUAGCCGAACUGACAGGAGGAUCAGCCACACGAGCACUGAGACACGGUCCAGACUCCUGCGGGAUGCAGCCGUACGGAAUCUUCCGCGUUGGGCGAGAGCCUGACGUAGCAGCCCAGCUUGAGUGAUGAAGAUCUUCGGUACGGAAAACUCUGUUAUUAGUGAAAAACAUGUGUGCAAGUAUCUGUGCACAACUUGACGGUACCUAAUCAGAAAGCCACGGCUAACUACGUG